rnacentral:lncRNA from 1 species
UGGGGAUUUCUGCUUUGGAAUGGGCAGAAUCAGAGACCAAACAAUGGUGAGCACACCCUGAAAUCAUAGCACAAACCUACUUUCUUGGAAUAAAUGAAAGACUGUUCUCAGCGUUUGGGUUGCAGUUUUCACUGUAUUCUUUUUUUCUCUGUUUUUGCACACUCGGGCAGAGGAAGGACUCUUCUGUGUACUGUGAGCAGUGUAAUAUUGCGGCCCUCGUUCAGGAAAGUGUCCCCGUUGAAUAUUCUAAGUCUGUCCCAGGGCAGUAAUCCAGGAGGGUGGAGACAGUCUCUUUUGGAUUAUAUUUACUUUUGUUUUUUUCUCCUCCAAAGGAAAAGAAAGUCAUGAGAGAUACUGUCUGAUGGAUGGAGCCUGCUGACCAAGUGCUUCAUGCUGACUUCACUGGGGGGUGACUGAACAUCUGGUGACCCGAAACUUCCUCUGCUCUUACGGGGACUAAGGGGACGCCUCUGAGGCUGGGCAGCAAAUCUCUGAGCUCAGGAGUUGAGUCAGGAAGCUUCUAGGAAGACAUUAUUUUCUCCUUCUAGCCUUAUGGAAGCUUGGUUUUCCCCCAGCCCUCGGAUCUAACUUUCUCUGUGGUGACUGCUAACUUGGAUCACAUUGUGAGAGCUCAGUGUGUUUUUCUGAUUAGGUGGACACCUGUCAUGGAGAGAACUGGCGUGACAUGCUGUUGGGGCCACUGAGAGGCCUGGGCAGCCACGGGGACCACGAGCUUCAGGCUUUAGUUGGUAGCUAGGAUGAACUGCUGUGACAACAUUGAGAAAAGCAGAAUAUUUAGCUCUCACAGCGUCCUUAACGGACAUUUUCUCACUUGACCUUUUUUUUAAAAAAAACCUUUUUUUUUUUUUAAUGUUUAUUUAUUUUUGAGAGAGAAGGCAUAAGCAGGGGAGGGGCAGAGAGAGAGGGAGACCCAGAAUCCGAAACAGGCUCCAGGCUCCGUGCUCUCAGCACAGAGCCUGACACAGGGCUCGAACUCACAAACUGUGAGAUCAUGACCUGAGCCGAAGUUGGACGCUUAACCAACUGAGCCACCCGGGCACCCCUCACUUGACCUUCUGACAACCUAUGGUCAAGGUAAAAAAACAGGGGACUUGAAGCCAAACGGACAAGGAUUUGAAACUUCCUACCCCUUUACUGGGUCCUAAUGCUUGUAUUUAAUCUUUCUUUUUUUUUUUUUUUAAGUUUUUUUUUUUUUUUAAGUUUUAUUUAUUUAUUUUGAGAGAGACUAAGACAGCACAAGCAGGGGAGGGGCAGAGAGACUGGGUGAAUCCCAAGCAGGCUCCACACUUCGGCACAGGGCCCCACGUGGGGCCUGAACUCACGAAACCGUGAGAUCAUGACCUGAGCCGAAAUCGAGUCAGAUGCCUAACUGACCGAACCACUCAGGUGCCCCAAAUCUUUCUGACCCUUGGUUUCCUCCUCUGUAAAGUGGGGUUGAGGACCUCUCACAGGGUUGUCAAGAGGAGCAAAUGGGAUCCUGUGUUCACGGGUUCUACUCAGUAAGUUCUAUUCCUGUUACUGUGCCUUUUUUCAGAUGAGAAGACUGAGUCCUACACAUGCCAAGUGAUUUCCUCCAGAUGCCUCAUUUCAUAAGGAACGGAGCCUAGGCCCGCACUCUG